GCCUUCGUGGUGUAGUGGUCAACAAACUCGGCGCGUAUUUGAGAAGUCCGUAGUUCAAGUCCCGGCGAGGGCA
rnacentral:tRNA from 1 species